UUAUUUUUUUUAUUUUUUUAUUUUUUUUCUGAGAUCUACGAACCAGAAGGAGAUGGAGUUCGUAGAGAAAGGAGAAGAAGCGACGGCCGCUCGUCACCACCAUCGCCAUCUCUCCCGUCCCCCAUCGCUCGUCACCACCACCAUCGCUUCUCAGAUCCGUCUUCACCGGAGUCGCCACCACCACCGCCACGCUCGUCAUAACCACCAUUGAAGUCCAAGAGGAAUGAGUAUGCCAAAACUAUCUCCCAACGUUUGCAACGUAUUGUUUUAACUUGUCUGAUUUGUUUUCUAUCAUUCUGUAAUUUUUAUGUGUUUGUUCGCUACAUGCUCGUAAGAGACCAAGGUUCUGAUUUGAAAGAAUCAAUCUGCCUCGUACGUUGUGUUCUUGCCCUUCCUCUUCAAUCCUUCAGGUUUCGAGUGGCAGAAGAUUGUUGAUGAUUAGACUGAUCGGAACAGCUCACGAUUAUCUAUCAAUACGUACUUGUUUAUCAUCUCACGACUACAGAGAAGACUAAACUUUCUGGUAUGUAGACAAAACUUCCAGUCUAUAUAGCUCUUAAUCUGUGUUUAAAAAGGCGCUCGCCUUGAGCCUAGGCGAUAGCUCCAUCGCCAUGCACAUCCCAGGCGAGGGUAUGGUCCCUAAGGCGCUCGCCUAGUGCGCUUUGGCCAUAAGGCGGUGCCUUCAAAAGCGAUGCAAAGGCGCGCCUUGGAGACCCUAUGUUAACCGACGCUAAACCAGUUUCAAGUGGUCUUCAAGGCGAGCGCCUCGAUGCGCCGUGGCGCAAGACGCAAGGCACAUACUUCAUCGCCAUGGAGCGCCAUGCGCCUUUUUAAACACAGCUCUUAAUAUUGGUAUAUUUGCUUCGAUCACUGGUUUAUGGAGUAUCGUGGCUGACUGUUUUGGUCAGGUUGAUAAAGGAGCUAAUAUUCUUGAAAUUUGUCGCAAUCAUUGUGAUACUGAUCACACUUGCUCGCAUGACUGCUGCUACUUGCUCUUUUUGGUUCUUUGCUGGAUAAAUUGAAAGACUUGCGUUUAGCAUCUGAUCACUCUUCUUUGCGUGUGUUUCUGCAAGUAAAAAUGCAGGUAACAUUUUCCCUUUAUGAGUCUGUGCAAUAAGCUUGACGACAGAGGUGGAAAGGCGGCGAGGUGGAUGGGACGAGGUUGCUGUGAUGGAUGGGGCGGAGAGGCGUCAGAUCUGAAGAAGCUAUGUUGUGGAGAUGGCAGAGGAAGCUAGCGGUGGUAGUGGUGGCGGCACUAAAAGAUAAGAGCACUAGAAGAUAGGAGAUGAAUUUUAGGUUUAGUUAAAAAUUUGGUUUAGUUUAAUAACACAUUCAUAAAUAUGUAAACAAUUUCAAUAUAUAAAAUUUAAUUUAAUU